UGGAGUGAGGUUCAUCAUGUGUUUUCAUAAUUUUACGCGUUUGAUAAAAACAAUAAUUCGGUAGUUAUAUGGUGCAGCGAGCAUUCAGAUUUCAGACUUCACUUCAACGUCGGACGUGACGCGGUGAUGUUGACAAAUCGGAAAACAACAAUUAUGAGGGAUUUUAAAUUUUAGUAAACCACUUAUUUUACAAGCUGAAAAAAUGAGCAGGAACUUUUGAAGGAUAUCUACUCCCGUCAAUAUUGAACAAAAAAGAUAUUAUAAUAUCGAAAAUUAUUGAAGAAUUUGCGAACGAAGUUUAAAAUAUAUUAAACCUAAAUAUUGUAUCUAACGUUGUAUACGUCAUAUACUUAAUGCGUUUAAUUCAAGACAGACGAUCACAGUAUGGAUACACUAAAAAAUUAAACACAAGUCAUGACCGGUCCAAGCGUACCUAAAAAAGGAGUAAAAAUAUAGUACGAAAAAAAAAGGAUUAUAAUAGUUAAAAACUCGGAGUAACUCAAUGUGGAAGUAAUAAUUUUCACAAUCAACUACACCGAAGUCGCGGAUCAUUGCGUAACUAAUAGAUUUAAAAAUAUUCAAAAUGUAUUUCAUAGCAAAAACAAUAAAAUAUGGUUAAUAUCGGACAGUAAAGCAAGUCGUAAAGAGAAAAUCUUAUAAAUGUCAGAAUAAGAAUCAUCACUCGAAUUCCAACUCUACAUGUCAAAGAGCAGAAUAAUAAUAUACUCGUGUAAAGUUUUAGUUAUCAAGUAACCGAGUAUAUGUUGUAUGCGAGUUUAAUCAUAUAGUUAUUAGAACGUGAAAAUAUAUUUUUGUCAUUUAUAACCUACAGACAUUUUAACAAAAAUAAUAUUUUCCCAGCUAUGUAAGGUAAUAUAGUUUAAGAUCUUAUUUUAAAUUAAAUUAAAUUUAUACUUUGUAAGUUUUUUUUUUGUAAUUUAUUUGACAACCGCUUAUUAGUUGCAAAUAAAAUAUACAAAAAUACAGUGUACCAUGUUUCAUUUAACGUCAUUUUUGUACAGAAAUCAUCUCAUGACAAGCUUACAUUAAGAAGUACAGCGAGCGUUUAUCUCGUCAUCAUAAUCUCAAGUCUCUUUUGGUAUAGUAUUUUAUACGUAGUAAACGCGAUUUGCAUGUCUGUAUACCUCGUCCUUACUAUACAACUAUACUCUGUCUCGGGAAUUACAAAGAGUUUGUUAAUAAAUUACAUUUUUCCAAACAUUUAAAAACAUAUCGUACUUUUUGGAGUUUUUAAAUGUUCAUAUGACUAUCGUUGUUGUUUGUUCUUUACGUUUAUAAAAGAUUAAAAACUUUAAGAAUGUAUAUUUUCUAAAUCGUUGUCCGAUAAAAGAAAAAUACUCAGUAUAUGUAUAUUAUAUACACAUACGCCUUAUGUGUAUUUAAUAUUAUUAUGUUUGUAUAAACUUAUGAUAGCAUGUACAUAUAUACAUAUAUGUGUGUGUACAGUGUACACUGUACAGACUAAAAUUAUUAAACUGCUGGGGGGCUCUAUCGUGGUUUGUUUUCAGAUAAUUAAGUAGCAGAAACGAUGUUAACUGUACGCCAAAAAAAUAAUACUGUAAUACAUGUCGAAACAUAAACCCGUGGAAACAGUAAAAACAGGAAGACAUUUAUUCACACACACACACAUACUUUGUGUCCGAGAUGAACGUAAAAAUAAUGACAUCGAAAAAAUCGUUUGGUGAAAAAGUCGAGAAUGGUAUUGUACGUAUAAAACAGUAAUUUUGUAUAGAAGGUAUGGAUCCGUUUUAUUAUAUAAAUGAUUUAAAUGAAUAUUCCAAAUAGAUAUUAAACAAAUAUUAUCAGUAAUAAUUAGAUAUUAAUAAUAAUGUGCGAAUUAAAAUAUUUAUUUUGUACUCUUAGAACGAUUCUGGUCAAAAUUACGUAAGUGUAUAGAUUUUAAUGAUUAUAAUAU